rnacentral:lncRNA from 1 species
UGUAUCAACCAGUAAUAUUUAUGAUAAAAAUCAUGUAAGUUAUUGAUGAGGCUUCUUUCUAAGUAAUAGUAUUAUAUAUAUAUAUAUAUAUAUAUAUAUAUGUAUGACCCACUUAAGAUUUAAAUCCACACAACUAUUUCCACUUUGCUCAUCUUUUGCAUUUCCUAGGGCUUUGCACUCCCUCAUCAAUCUCUCAAUUUUGCAGUUAGUGAUGUGCUAAUUUUGUAAUCGGAUGAAACAAGUUGAAAGUAGAACUCUUGGAAAUAGUUGUAAUGGAGCACCUUGGAAAAAGAAUAUAGAAUCUAAUUGGAAGAAGUGAAUCAAUGAGGUAGAAGCACACAACAAGAAGACUAUUUUACAUUGGAGGGGAAGUUGAUGAGUAGUUAGAGAGGUAUUGGAGGUGAAUUGUGAAGAAGGAUAAACAAGAGAGGUAUUGCAAGAAGUGAAGUUUUUGACAAUGUCAAAUGAUAAAAAUGAUCAAUAACUAUUCGUAUUGUAUUAGAAUGGGACAAUUUAAUAUUCUUACACAGAUAUAUAUAUAUAUAUAUAUAUAAUCUCUUCUUCCUACCAAUUGAUGGUUUAAUAUGCUUCAAUAUGGUUAGAGCUCAUCUUGCAUGGUCAAAUUAUAAAAUACAAGUGCCACACCAAGGAUCUCGACCUUGUUGGGUAAAGAAUCAAUCUGCAUGGAUCAUUCACAACAUCUAAAAGGAACCUUGCAUCAUUUUAAUAUAUACUGGAAUUUCUCAUAACAUAUAUAUAUAUAUAUAUAUAUAAUUAUGGACCUACAUGAUGGCUUCAAAAAUAUCUAACAUAUUGACAUGAAAUUUAUUUUUUUUAUUUUUUGAAAAAGUCCUUCUGAGAAAGAAUUUAAAUAUAAACUCGAAUAUAAUUAAUGAUGUAAAUACAGUGUUGCAUUCUUGACUCCUUAUAAGUUCAAUUUUUUUGUAACUUG